rnacentral:rRNA from 1 species
UAUGGGUCAAGCGUUGUCCGGAAUUAUUGGGCGUAAGAGCACGUAGGUGGCUAACUAAGUCAAAAAUAAAAGCCCGAAGCUCAAUUUCGGGUAUGGUUUUGAAACUGAUUAGCUAGAGAUUUGGAGAGGAAAGCGGAAUUAGCAGUGUACCGGUGAAAUGCGUAGAUAUUGCUAAGAACACCCGUGGCGAAGGCGGCUUUCUGGCCAAAAUCUGACACUGAGGUGCGAAAGCGUGGGUAGCAAACAGGAUUAGAUACCCUGGUAGUCCACGCUGUAAACGAUGUACAUUAGGUAUAGGAGGUAUCGACCCCUUCUGUGCCGAAGCUAACGCGUUAAAUGUACCGCCUGGGGAGUACGGCCGCAAGGCUAAAACUCAAAGGAAUUGACGGGGGUCCGCACAAGCAGUGGAUCAUGUGGUUUAAUUCGACGAUACGCGAAAAACCUUACCAGAACUUGACAUCAUUUGGAAUCUUGCUUAAUCGCAAGAGUGCCUUCGGGAGCCUUAUGACAGGUGGUGCAUGGUUGUCGUCAGUUCGUGUCGUGAGAUGUUGGGUUAAGUCCCGCAACGAGCGCAACCCUCGUUCUGUGUUGCUACAUUCAGUUGAGCACUCACAGAAGACUGCCCGUGGAAAACGGGAGGAAGGUGGGGAUGACGUCAAAUCAUCAUGCCCCUUACGUUCUGGGCUACACACAUGAUACAAUGGGUAAUACAAAGGGCAGCCAACCUGCAAAGGGGAGCUAAUCUCAUAAAAUUACCCUCAGUUCGGAUUGUAGGCUGCAACUCGCCUGCAUGAAGUUGGAAUUGCUAGUAAACGCAGAUCAGCACGCUGCGUUGAAUACGUUCCCGGACCUUGUACACACCGCCCGUCACACCAUGAAGCCGUAUAUAUCCGAAGUCAGCGAGCUAACCGCAAGGAGGCAGUUGCCUAAGAUAGA